rfam:Dipodomys ordii contig_70646, whole genome shotgun sequence.
CAAAAGGCUCUUUUAAGAGCCACCUACAGUUUCACUUGGAGAGCUG